rnacentral:misc_RNA from 1 species
UCCGGUUUGUCACCGGCAGUCUCCCUAGAGUUCCCGGCCGAACCGCUGGCAACUAGGGACAAGGGUUGCGCUCGUUGCGGGACUUAACCCAACAUCUCACGACACGAGCUGACGACAACCAUGCACCACCUGUAAACCGGCCACAAGUGGCUGACGCAUCUCUGCGCCAUUCCGGUUCAUGUCAAGCCCUGGUAAGGUUCUUCGCGUUGCGUCGAAUUAAGCCACAUGCUCCGCCGCUUGUGCGGGCCCCCGUCAAUUCCUUUGAGUUUUAGCCUUGCGGCCGUACUCCCCAGGCGGGGCACUUAAUGCGUUAGCUUCGGCACGGAAGGAGUCGACACCUCCCACACCUAGUGCCCAUCGUUUACGGCGUGGACUAC